rnacentral:rRNA from 1 species
AUGAGCUGCAUAAGCUGGAACUGCCGGGGGCUUGGGAACCCCGAGGCAGUUCGCGAGCUUCGCAAUGUUGUGAAGCAAGAAGGGCCUGUGCUGGUUUUUGUCAUGGAGACGAAGAUCAGUGGGAAAUGAGUCGAGGAUAUGCGGCGUACUUUAGGGUUUGUAGGCAGUUUUGCAGUAAACAGUGACGGCCUAAGCGGAGGCAUAGGGCUGUUCUGGUCUAAUGAUAUUAAGGUGGAGCUCAAGAACUUUCGGCAAAAAUCAUAUUGA